rnacentral:rRNA from 1 species
CCCUUAGAUGUCCUGGGCCGCACGCGCGCUACACUGAUGCAUUCAACGAGUUUUACCUUGGCCGAGAGGCCUGGGCAAUCUUUUAAACCUGCAUCGUGAUAGGGAUAGAUUAUUGCAAUUAUUAAUCUUGAACGAGGAAUUCCUAGUAAACGCAAAUCAUCAAUUUGCAUUGAUUACGUCCCUGCCCUUUGUACACACCGCCCGUCGCACCUACCGAUUGAAUGGUCCGGUGAGGCUUUGGGAUCUGAGCGGAAAGAGCGUUUCGCUGUUUCUGCCCGGAAAACUCAGUCGAACCUUAUCAUUUAGAGGAAGGAGAAGUCGUAACA